rnacentral:lncRNA from 1 species
GUUCUUCCUACCUCCUACAUGAAUUCUAUGAGACAAUAGAGGUACCUAAAUGAAGAUUUAUCUUCUACCUCAUGCUUGACUAAUGGACUAAAUAAUAUCUAUAAUACUUAUACAUAUAUAUACUAUUCUAACCCUUGAUGUUGGACUCGUGUUCAUUUGUCAAGAUAUUAGAAUAACAUCACCUAAGACAUAAGACUUGUCACGAUUCUAAUGGAACCUUGUUCCAUGAAACCAUAUAAACUCCUUGGAGUACAUAGUGUCAAGAACAAGUAUCAUAUGUAUUAGAUGAUUAUUUUCACAUGUUAUUCUCAUAUGUUAUUUUCAUGAUGUUUUAUUCCGAAUCUCGACUCUAAACAUACUUGAACUUUAACCCCUAUACAUUCGGACUCUAAAUCUCUACUCGUCAACAAUUGGAUAAUCGGAAAGCAUAUGCAAACUUAGGAUGCUAAAUACUAGUGGACACUUUGGGUUGAUGAUGAUGAUGCUAUGAAAUGAAGUAGCAAUAGAUACACAUAUAGACGUUUAGGUUUAAAUGUUGUAUCAAUUUUGAUUAUGUUGUUAUGUAUUUCUUUUGAACUUGUUAUUUGAAUUUCCUUGUAUUGUUGACAAAUUAAAUUAUGAAAUGAAAUCGGU